GUGAAAUGAAGACCGAAGUGAAGUUACAUCAUAUGGUCCCUCACCACAUGGAUCGGAAAUCCUAUACUGCUUAUCUCCAUGAAAUGACGGAAGAAAGAAGGCGAAACAAUAUAACCCCACCUAGGAGAGAGGACCUGUUCAGGAAGGCCCAUACAAAUUCCUAAGGGGAGUUUUGUGACCCUCGAACGAGGGACCUUGCUGUAACUAUUUUUUUAUUUUUAUCCAUUUAAUCAUUUUUGGUGUGGUUUUGUGAUGGUCCAUUUUAAAUAAAUAUAUUAUUUGAAAUUGUUGUAGGCAAAGAUGAAAGCAUAUGUGGAUGAACAAGCAGAACAGGGCACCCAAGUCGAGCCCAUUGGUGCCUAUGAUGCAGUGGUGAUUUUGGGUAAAGAUCAUCCAUUACAUGUUUGUUGCUUAGGCUUCAGGGUGAACCCAAAGCGUGCUUUCGAAACUAAAGGGUCCAAAAGCACCACUAGUAGUACAGCCACCUCAUGCGAUUCGAAGUUACAGAAGGAAAACCAAAUGCUUCGAAGACAGGUGGGUGAUCUUCAAGAAAAAUAGCACGAUUGGAGUCCGUAAUGGAGCUGUUAGCGCACCAUCAAGGACUGGAUGCCUUGUUUGCCACUCGUUCGGUCCAGAUCCGAAUUCAUCCAGUU